GGCGAACGCUGGCGGCGUGCUUAACACAUGCAAGUCGAACGGAAAGGCUCCAGCUUUCUGCCGUUCUCGAUUGGCGAAGGGGUGAGUAACACGUGGGUAUUCUGCCCUGCACUCUCGGAUAAGCCUGGGAAACUGGGUCUAAUACUGGAUAUGACCUUUCUCCUUAUGAGGUUUGGUGGAAAGUUUUUCGGUGUAGGAUGAGCCCGCGGCCUAUCGGCUUGUUGGGGGGGUGAUGGCCUACGAAGGCGACGACGGGUAGCCGGCCUGAGAGGGGGAUCGGGCACAUUGGGACUAAGGUACGGACCAGACUCCAACGGGAGGCAGUAGUGGGGAAUAUUGCACAGUGGGCCGAAGCCUGAUGCAGCGGCCUUGGGUGAGGGAUGCCGGCUUUCGGGUUGUAAACAUCUUUCAGCAGAGACGAAGCGUAAGUGACGGUACCUGAAGAAGAAGCACCGGCUAACUAUGUG
rnacentral:rRNA from 1 species